UGGUUCUGGCAUCGAUGAAGAACGCAGCGAAAUGCGAUAAGUAAUGCGAAUUGCAGAAUUCCAGUGAGUCAUCGAAUCUUUGAACGCACAUUGCGCCCUUUGGUAUUCCGAAGGGCAUGCCUGUUCGAGCGUCAUUAUCACCCCUCAAGCCCUUGGGCUUGGUGUUGGACGGCCGGUCGCGCGAGUGACCCCUCCCAAAGACAAUGACGGCGGCCUGUGGUUCCCCCGGCACACUGAGCUUUUCACCGAGCACGUGUCGGGUAAGGGCGCCCGGGGCACGGUCCUCUCCUCCCACGAGGAAAUUUUUUUCAAGGUUGACCUCGGAUCAGGUAGGAAUACGCGCUGA
rnacentral:misc_RNA from 1 species